rnacentral:rRNA from 1 species
AUUGAACGCUGGCGGCAGGCCUAACACAUGCAAGUCGAGCGGAUGAAGGGAGCUUGCUCCUGGAUUCAGCGGCGGACGGGUGAGUAAUGCCUAGGAAUCUGCCUGGUAGUGGGGGAUAACGUCCGGAAACGGGCGCUAAUACCGCAUACGUCCUGAGGGAGAAAGUGGGGGAUCUUCGGACCUCACGCUAUCAGAUGAGCCUAGGUCGGAUUAGCUAGUUGGUGGGGUAAAGGCCUACCAAGGCGACGAUCCGUAACUGGUCUGAGAGGAUGAUCAGUCACACUGGCAGUGAGACACGGCACAGACUUAUAGGAGGCACAGCAGGGGAGAAUAGUGGACUAUGGGCAAGAGUGUGCUAGCGCCGUGGCGCGUGUGAAGAAGGUCUUCGGAUUGCAAAGCACUUUAAGUUGGGAGGAAGGGCAGUAAGUUAAUACCUUGCUGUUUUGACGUUACCAACAGAAUAAGCACCGGCUAACUUCGUG